CGACAAAUAAGAAUGGUAUUAAGUUGGUAGAAUGGAACUCCUUCCUGAUUCCUGCACAUGUAAGUUACCAGAUACUCUUGAGGGACCAAUUUAAGGGCAAACAGACAAACGUUUUGAUGCAAAGAAAGCAUUGGAUUUGAAAGUUCCCAUGGAGAAGAAAAAUGGAGAGAUUCUAAAAGUAUGAAGAUACUCCUGUGUAUAAUGAGGAAAUCUUGUC